rnacentral:rRNA from 1 species
GAUGAACGCUGGCGGCGUGCCUAAUACAUGCAAGUCGAGCGAACGGACGAGAAGCUUGCUUCUCUGAUGUUAGCGGCGGACGGGUGAGUAACACGUGGAUAACCUACCUAUAAGACUGGGAUAACUUCGGGAAACCGGAGCUAAUACCGGAUAAUGUUUUGAACCGCAUGGUUCAAAAGUGAAAGACGGUCUUGCUGUCACUUAUAGAUGGGUCCGCGCUGCAUUAGCUAGUUGGUAAGGUAACGGCUUACCAAGGCAACGAUGCAUAGCCGACCUGAGAGGGUGAUCGGCCACACUGGAACUGAGACACGGUCCAGACUCCUACGGGAGGCAGCAGUAGGGAAUCUUCCGCAAUGGGCGAAAGCCUGACGGAGCAACGCCGCGUGAGUGAUGAAGGUCUUCGGAUCGUAAAACUCUGUUAUUAGGGAAGAACAUAUGUGUAAGUAACUGUGCACAUCUUGACGGUACCUAAUCAGAAAGCCACGGCUAACUACGUG